CGAGGUAGCAUAUUCUCCACUUUUUACCCCGUAUUAACAAUGUGGCUGAUGAGGAAUCUUAUGAACCAUCAGCCUCGCUGUCAAUACGAGGUAAGGAGUGACAACCAACCAAUCAACGA
rnacentral:precursor_RNA from 15 species